rnacentral:snRNA from 14 species
GUGCUCACUGGUGGCACACACACCAAAACUGGAAUAAAGAGGCUUAGUAUGGCCCCGGCCAAGGAUGACACACAAAUCUGCGAAUAUUCCGUAUUUAAA